GAGGAACCGAGAGAGUAGAAGGGUGGGUGUAGAGGAGGGCUGGACUAAGCGAAGGGUUGGACGGGGUGCGCAUGACAUCAUUGCUCCAGCUCCCGAGCGCUGACAGCUGUGGUCUCUCCAAGAGCGCGAGCUUCUGAGGGACAAAGUCCUCCUGCGAUACCUUCACGCGCGCCGAGCCAUCUGCAACCGCCACACCGGAUUUUAAAAGUAUUAUUCACCAACGCACCGAAAAGCAACCGAACCAACCCGUGAACCGCUCCUAUUUUGGAUCCGCCGCAGGGACGCACACACUUAACGGGAUUACUCUUUGUUUUAAUAAAGAAGAUGUGAUGUUUUAUAAGCUGACGGGGAAAAGAGACUCCACCGCUGACAAAAAGGUACGAACGAUUGAACAAAAACAAGACGAAAGGAAGACGCAGCUGGAACCGCUAGAGAUAUGGAGCUAAAGAGAUUUUGAAAACAUCUCCGUCGCCAGGACAUACCCCUCUCUGUUGCCAAACUCAACAUUGUUUUUAAUUUUUUUGUCCGUGCUUGCGGCGUUACACAAAUCAAAUCUAUUCCUAUUGUUCCAACAAAAAUUCACAACUCAACCCCACAUUUCACCAUAUUGUUGUACGACCAUGAACACACACUUAUCACACCGUUAUAUAACACAACAUCAGUAUUAAACACAGACAUUUGAGUUUAACUUCAAAAAGUAGUUGGGGUCCACUACUAGCCUGACUCUGAUAUUCAAACCGGCUGUAAAAGCCUGAAAUGAAUGUGUUG
ensembl:lncRNA